rnacentral:lncRNA from 1 species
GGCGCAUCGAGGUAUUUCCCCUCUUCUCCGUGCAACGUGAUAUCUCCGCUCUUUGCCCUGCCAUGUUGGAGCUUGGAGGUAGCUUGGAGCUGGACCGAAAAUGCUGUUUGGCUCUCGGUAUCGGGAUUAGUAUCCUUUUCGUAGGCCGCGGUAUUCACGGUGACAUAUCUGACACAAGUUGGCAUUUAAUGCGCUAUUUUGGCUCAAAUUAUAUUGUCAUCGUCCUGGACUGGCACAGGCCAUUUUUCAGGGUGUCCCACACUGGCCAUUCUGGGCUGGUAUAGGACAGCACUCACACCCACGCUCACCCCAUCUUUACUUUUCCCUAAAUACAACUUGGUACUCACAAGUCACAAGCCAAUAACCACAUGCUUUUCAAUUAAACUAUAUUAGUAGAUCUUACACUAGUCCUAAUAUUUAUUGAGGCCUCGUUUCUCAUGCAACAAAAAUUCUUACUCUCAAAUCACUUACUAAUCAGCCUCCUAAUUUGAUGGGUCGGCAACUGUUUUUGCAGUUUGCACGGUCAUGAUUCCAUAAUUCGAGGGUCCCUUCUCAUGUUUUUAGCGCUCGUACGAGCACCGGCAUCCUACGAACUACCUCUACUUGGUCAUCUUAAUGCCCGAGGGAAUCCAUAAGCCAAACCAGGGUGUACGCAGCCGGAAGCAACAAGAUUUUUAACCGAUGAUUUGCAGUGUGAGAAAAAGCAGAGAAUUUGGAUUAUAACAAUUCUAAAAAAAAUGGGGAGUCACAUAUUUUGGUUUCACAUAUUGCAUUAAUUCCAAUCUGUUUAAUUUUCAGUCCAACAUGGAAUCUAGUAAAUCAAAAUUCCAAAUCCAGAUCCCAAGUCAAAAUUUGGUCCGAAAAAAACAACGAAGCUACAAAGAAUUGAUGAACGAAGAAUUGUACAACCUAAAUCAAAGCCAGAUCUGGAGGUAGAAAUUCCCUCGUUGCUUCAAAGCGAAAUAAAAAAGCUAAAUCAAGCAGUAAGUCUUUCUUUGCUGCUCCCGUGGAUAUUCUCUCCGGACGACCGGCCGUUAUCUGAUCCGAGCACUUCACGAGGCCGGCCACCGGAUUUUCGAAGGUGGGGAGUAGGAGGGCCCACGGCAGCCCGGCGUCUCCCCUCAACUACUCCACCUCGGGAGGCUCGUGCGCGUCCACCUGCGGCGGCGAGGACGGCGCCUGCUGCUGCUCCGGCGGCGGCGCUCGCCUCCACCGUAGGCGACAGAAUCUUCCCAGCAGAAUCCGGGUGUGUCGACGGAUGGCGUCAGGCUAGAUCUGGCCGGAUGGAGGCCUUCGGAGGCUAGCGCUGGCGAGAUCGUAUGUGGCAGCGAUGUCGACCGGAUCGGUCAGAGAUGGGGAUUAGGGAAGAGGGGUGGUUGGGUGAGAGAUGUGAUAUUUUCACGGGGCGGGUGGGGCACUGGUCCAUGAAGCUGUUUGGUUUUGGGUUGGUCCAAGUCUCCAUUUGAAAUGGCCCAUGUUCUACCCGUACCAAAAUCCAAACAUGUGCUGGCCCAAGUUCACACGACGGAACAACAUGUGCUGACCCAGUAUUCCUCGCUGUUCUAUACACUCUACUGGACCAAAAAUCUGCAGUACACAGUGAUCAUCUAGCCCAAAAGAUAGAUAGGGAUUGGUCCACGUUACCAAGAGCACUGGAUCUCGGGAGCCAAAAAUCCAUGUCCGGAGCUGGACGCAUGUUUUUGCUUCCUCUCUAGAAUACAGAAGUGUCAGAUCAGGAUGAAGGAAAGAAAUACCAGCAAGUGUAGUAAGUUGGUGAUACAGCUAAGAGUAAGAUUAAUAGCUAUAGCCUGCUGCUGGCUGUAAGUUUUGCCAUGUCAUUUUUAAGUAGUAUAAUGGAUAGCAUUUAUAAUAAAUUGGCUAUAAGAAACACUAUUUUAUUAAUAGCAGGCCCACAUUACAGUCUCACAUGGUGUAUAGGAGCACGUGUUGCAGCUGGCUACUAGUUAAUAGCCCACUUCUCUUUUCUCUCCUUCUCUCUUUCCUGCAACUAAGCACCAAUAUAGUAUUUAAAUUCUCGUAGCCAGCUUAUAGCCCACUAUUAUUCUUGCUCUAAACCAGAUAUUUAUGUACUCCCACCAUUCCAUAAUUCUUGUCUUAAUUCUUGUCUCAAAUUUGACCAAACAUGGAUGUAUCUAUUCCUAAAAAAUAUCUAGAUACAUCUAAUAUUUCAAUAAUAAUUAUGAAACGGAGGAAAUAUUAUUUGCAGAAUAAGGUCAACUGUUUGGUAAACAAACUUCAAGGUUACUUUUAAAAAUAUUCAGAGAAGAAAUUCAUCUACUCCGUAUUAUGUAUCCCACAGCUAUCUAUUACUAUAUCGAUUAAAAUUAGAGUCGGCGGUAACGGGCGGCCGCCGUACGUCCUCCCUCUCCCGAUCCGGAACAAGCGAUUCCGCAGGGCCCCUUCCCCUUUGCAGCCCACAGCAACGCGAGGCUCGUCCUCGCCGCCCGUCCCACCAACACGCUCGUCGCCAGCACCUCCUCUCCUCCUCGCCGCCCCCCGAUCCGAACCCGCUUCUCACUUGUGUUCCCGCCUUCUUCUUGCCAUCCUCUUGCUCCCCCCUUCAACAGACCACGUCCCAUCUGGCGUCGAGAACCUCGUGGGGCAGCAAAGUCAACGCCAACCGGCAGCCGGACUUGCACGUCGACGCAUCGUCCCCGUCGGCCGACGGCACAUGGUGCUCAACCGCUUGUGCCGCAGCAGUGCCUGGAUCUGCUUCCAUGGUCGGAAGGACUCCUUUAAAGGCGCUUCCAUGGUCGGAAGGACUCGUUUAAAGGCUUCCUAUGGCGGGUUCUCAAGCUAGAGGAAGAGAUAUGUGUUAAUUUUUCUGCACUUAUCCAUUUGCUCGCCAGAUGAUUAGUCUACAGUGCGCAUCAAUUUUAGUAAAACUAAGCCUCUGUAGGCUGGAGCAGCAUACUUAUAAAUAAAGUGAAAUUUAGUUUCGUUUCUUCAUGUAUCUACUUCCAUGUAGUUUUUUGGUGAAACUUUGUCAAUGAGUUAGGAGAUGCUGUCAGUAGUCACCAGCCAGAAUAGUUCAUCAGAUACUGGUCUACGCAAGUUCAUCAGAUCACAUGGGGCUAGAUUUGGUUAGGAGGAGCUUGAUGGCCGCUAGCAACCAUUAGAGUUAGUCAGAGGCUCAGACCAACAAAAACCUGCAUUUUGUUUCUCAGGCCAGCUACGGGAAUUAUGUUUGAGUUUAUGAGAUGCUGUCAGUAGUCACCAGCCAGAAUAGUUUUCUUGGUGUUCUCGAGAUUAUAAGAUAUGCUGGCAAAACAUUGGAAGUUUGGUAGUUGGGAAUGAUGCUGUUGAGCGAAGAAGAUUCUCAAGUUAAUCUGACACAAAUAAUUGAGAUAAUAAUGGGUACAGAUUAUAUGAUCUAAGACAACAAAUGAUAGUACAACAUGUUCUUUAAAGUUCUUCGAUUGGCUGCGCCCCAGGUGGUUGAUAUUCUCCUUUACUAUACAGGUUUAGCUGCUCCAGCAAUUGCUGUAGGAUGCUGCUCUUGCUCCAAUGCUGGGCACACUUCACCUUCUGCGUACUGUUUACACAUGUCUACAGCAUGUCUCCCUCCAACCUCCUCACUGUAGCAGCAGGCGCCGAGUGCUCCCACCCCGCCGCUGCCUCGCAGGGGCCACUGCCGCCUCCCUGCUGCCCCUUUGCCGUCGAUUCCUGGCUCCUCUGCAACGCCAGCACGCAGCUCGACAACCAUGGUGAGCAACUGGGGAGUUAAAUUGUUUGGAUAGGUUGCCUGAAUUGUAAGUCUGUAACAGAAAAUUUCUUGGGUUCGGAUGCACUGGGUUCAAAUAUUUACAAGCUUUUAUGUCUGCUUCUCUGUUCGUUAGUUCUAUUUGUUCUCGAAAGUUUAAAAAGAAAAUUCAUUUCAAUUCAGUGUCAAAUUAUGUUGCUGUGUUUUCUGUAAAGGUGAAUUUUUGUGUGCAUUAUGUUUACAUGUGAAAACGAAAGAAAUUAAGAGGUCGUGAUGGAUGCUCCUAACUA